AGGCCAGUGAUGCACCGAGUUGAAUCAGUAAACAAAGAGGGGGAAACUGAGUGGAAAGGCACCGAUUUGAACCCAAUGUGAUUAUCUGAAUUUGUGAAAAAUACUGGAAUUGCACAGGUUACUGUUUUGCUAUAAAUUGUAUAUAUGAUAGUGGAACCAUAGCUUGUGACCAAAAGAGGUUGAAAGAAACUUCAGUAAAAGGGGUUGAAAAAUACUCCAGUUCGGGGGUUGAAAUAAACUCCUAGGGCUAGGUACUGAUGCUAGCAGUACAAUGCAACUAUACAUGAGAAAUCAGUAUGGGUACGUUAGAUGGUCGACUUGCGAGGAGUUAGUAAGUUGCUGGUAAAAAUAAACCAGGGGGCGGUCGGAUCAUAAAAGAUGCUCGACUUUUGUCUGCACGAACAAGACACUGUCAGAGGCAAUCAGUGCACAACCCGUGCCAUGAGGGUUUGCGGUUGUCACAACAUCAACACGAUACCAUGCACUGCAGUAGGAUGCAGCUUUUGAUUUUGUUUGUUUGUUUGUUUGUUUUUUUUUUUUGUUAUCUGAACAUAUGAGAUUCAUGUAUAAAACAUUCAGAAUUUGUAUAAUGUAUUUGUAUUUGAUUUUGAUUUAGAAUUUUUAAUAAUUUAUGAAUCUUUUUAAUUA